rnacentral:rRNA from 1 species
UUUUAUGGAGAGUUUGAUCCUGGCUCAGGAUGAACGCUGGCGGCGUGCCUAAUACAUGCAAGUCGAGCGAACGGACGAGAAGCUUGCUUCUCUGAUGUUAGCGGCGGACGGGUGAGUAACACGUGGAUAACCUACCUAUAAGACUGGGAUAACUUCGGGAAACCGGAGCUAAUACCGGAUAAUAUUUUGAACCGCAUGGUUCAAAAGUGAAAGACGGUCUUGCUGUCACUUAUAGAUGGAUCCGCGCUGCAUUAGCUAGUUGGUAAGGUAACGGCUUACCAAGGCAACGAUGCAUAGCCGACCUGAGAGGGUGAUCGGCCACACUGGAACUGAGACACGGUCCAGACUCCUACGGGAGGCAGCAGUAGGGAAUCUUCCGCAAUGGGCGAAAGCCUGACGGAGCAACGCCGCGUGAGUGAUGAAGGUCUUCGGAUCGUAAAACU